AGAAAAAAAGUUCAGGAAGUCAUUUUCAUAAAGAGUUUUAAUAAAGAGUAAACUAAAAAUUAUGAUACAUAAUUAGAUUUGAUGUCAAACACAAGAUCAUCACAUGGGAGCAUCACCUCUUUUACAAGUCAACAGAGAAUGGAGACCCCCAACCCAAUAAGGAAAAGCCACCAGGAUCCACUCUUCUCCAGUCAUCCAAGAAGGGCUACUGUCCAAGUCCAACUAACUUCAAUGUUACCCUAUGUUUGGCCAAAACUAACUUUAAAAUAAAAUAAAAUAAAAAUUUAUGAAGCUACA
rnacentral:lncRNA from 1 species